AUGCAUAGCUCCACCCACUCCUGCCAUCAUACAUUAGACAUUGUGCUGACUUAUGGCAUUGAGUGUGAGGAAAUAAUGAUCUUUCCACAUAAUUCAGUCCUCUCGGACCACUUUCUGAUAACCUUUGAGUUUUUUAUAACUGAGUUCUCGAGACAUGAAAGUAAAUUUCACUAUAGUCGGUCUCUAUCUGACAACGCUGUUGCAUCUUUUAAAUCAACUGUUCCAUCUCUAAUGUCCUCAGCAUCUCAGAGGAACGUAGCAGAGGGCAAUAUUUUCCUUUAUAGCCCCUCACAAAUUGAUGCCUUUGUUCAUAAUGUUACUUCCUCUUUACGUGUGGCAUUAGAUGAUGUUGCCCCUUUAAAAAAGAAGGUAAUUAGGGACAGGAAGUUGGCUCCCUGGUUUAAUUCUCAUUUACGAGCUUUAAAACUAAACUCUAGAAAAUUGGAGAGAACAUGGCGCUCUACGCACCAUGAGGAGUCCUACUUAUCCUGGAAAAAUAGUCUUGUGCUUUAUAAAAAUAAGCUUCAACAAACAACUGCUUAUUUCUCAGCGUUAAUUGAGGAGAAUAAGAAUAAUCCUAAAUUAAUUUUCAGUACAGUUGCCAAACUUACGCAGAAUCAUAGCUCUGAACCAUCUAUUCCCUUAGCCCUCAGCAGUAACGACUUUAUGGGAUUUUUCACAAGUAAAAUUAAUUCUAUUAGAAACAAUAUCUUUAGCAUCCUCCCUAAUGCGAUUUCUUCUUCCUCAGUAAGUGAGGCAGCAUCAGAGGUAACUGUAGAACCUCAUCUGUGUUUGAACCGUUUUGAUCCAGUUGAGCUUUCAGAGUUAUCAAAAAUAGUAGCUUCAUCUAAACCUUCAUCUUGCAUUUUAGAUCCAAUCCCAACCAAAUUAUUUAUAGAUGCAUUUCCUUUGGUUACUGCCCCCAUUCUAGAUAUAAUCAAUCUAUCCUUAGUAAAUGGAUAUGUACCACAGGAUUUUAAGGUUUCUGUAAUCAAAUCUUCACUUAAGAAGCCUUCUCUGGAUCCAGAUGACCCAAUGAAUUAUAGACCAAUAUCUAACCUUCCAUUUUUAUCCAGAUAUUUUAUCCACAUAUAUUGGUAUUUGAUAUUGGUUUUGGAAAUUAAGCGUUAG
rnacentral:lncRNA from 1 species